rnacentral:rRNA from 2 species
UAAGGCAUGCGAGUUACAUUAACCGCCCACGAAUACAUUAGCAUGGGAUAAUGGAAUAGGACCCUGUCCUGAAUCCUCCUAUUUUCAGUUGGUUUUGACACGCGAGGACCAGGGUAAUGAUUAAUAGGGAUAGUUGGGGGCAUUAAUAUUUAAUUGUCAGAGGUGAAAUUCUUGGAUUUAUGAAAGAUUAACUUCUGCGAAAGCAUCUGCCAAGGAUGUUUUCAUUAAUCAAGAACGAAAGUUAGGGGAUCGAAGACGAUCAGAUACCGUCGUAGUCUUAACCGUCGUAAUCUUAACCAUAAACCAUGCCCACCAGCGAUUGGGAAACGUUACAUAGGCGGUGCUUUCCCCGCGUACAGCCCUAAACACGGCCAGGUGUGAGGACGGUUUAGCCUGAUGGAUUUCGGUGAAUGACU